GAGGAAUUGAUUACUACAGAGACAGCCGAGGACAAGGAAGUGACCUUGCUGAGGUUCAAGCAUCAGAAGAUGGAGUGACUGCAGGCAAGGAGAGGGACAGAGUGGCAAGAGGACAGGAGGGGAGGAGACACUGAACUGACAACUUGCUGCACAUUUUGGAUUCAGAACCAUGUGAAGAGUUACCUAUCAAAGCCGUGAGAUGAGGACACUGAGGCACAGA